UUACGGCUACAUCACGUUGAAACGUUGAUUCCCGUACAAUCACCAAAGUGAAGCAACAUUGGGCCUGAUCAAUACUUAGAUGGGUGAAUGCUUGGGAAUACUAGGUGUUGUAA